UUCACUUAAUAUGAUGCAUUUGGAGCUGGGUGUAUGGGGAAGCCUGAUGGCUGGGAUUAGCUUAUUGGAAUGAUUUCCAUUAGCACUAAAAAUAUCUGUAUCUCUACCAUAGUUGUUGAAUGAUUCAACAGCAGCUGAUUAGGAUUGAAUCCAUCUCACACAAGAAAUAGGAGGAUUUAUGUAUCUAUUUAUUCUAAUUGCCGUAUUUGCUGAAUAUAAUGGUGACUUUAUGUCGGUUAUGGCAGAUGAUAUGGAACGGUUGUUGACGGUAAUAAAACUCAUAAAUUCUGUUUUAGAGUUUAUUUAAUAACUUUUACCUUGGCAUGCCUAUGAAGCACAAAGGUUUACAAUUGUCUUUGUUCUGUCAGUCAAACUAAUUGAAGUUACAAUAUGAUUGGAUCAUUUUUAUGAAAAAGGGUUAUGAUGAGGAGCCACCAUUAGACUUCAAAAUUGAUCAUGAAGGUGAUCCUGCCAUUGAUGGAUCUCUUUUCAGAUUAAGGUUGAAAGCUGCCUGAUGGAGGAUCCAUCUUCAAGCGCAGCAGCAAGAGUUACACUAUUGAUGGUGCUGAGGCGAAUGAAGAGGAAAUUAAGGCUGGACAAGAAAAGGCCAUGGAAGCCUUUGUAGGAAUAUUCAGGCUAUGAUAGAUUGAGGGCUCAAACGCCAACGCUCCAAUAAUAAAAAUUUAAAUUUUUAACACAAUGUUUUAUAUUUAAAUUGUGCUAAGAUCGAAAAUUUGAGAUUAUAGAAAAUACAGAGCUAUUCAAAAUUUGAUUUA